AUGCUCGCUACGGCAGCACAUAUACUAAAAUUGGAACGAUACAGAGAAGAAUAGCAUGGCUCCUGCACAAGGAUGACACGCAAAUUCGUGAAGCGGUCCAUAUUUAA
ensembl:snRNA U6 U6 spliceosomal RNA